rnacentral:rRNA from 1 species
AUUGAACGCUGGCGGCAUGCCUUACACAUGCAAGUCGAACGGUAACGGGCCUUCGGGUGCCGACGAGUGGCGAACGGGUGAGUAAUGUAUCGGAACGUGCCCAGUAGUGGGGGAUAGCCCGGCGAAAGCCGGAUUAAUACCGCAUACGACCUACGGGUGAAAGGGGGGGAUCGCAAGACCUCGCGCUAUUGGAGCGGCCGAUAUCAGAUUAGGUAGUCGGUGGGGUAAAGGCCUACCAAGCCUGCGAUCUGUAGUUGGUCUGAGAGGACGACCAGCCACACUGGGACUGAGACACGGCCCAGACUCCUACGGGAGGCAGCAGUGGGGAAUUUUGGACAAUGGGGGCAACCCUGAUCCAGCAAUGCCGCGUGCAGGAAGAAGGCCCUCGGGUUGUAAACUGCUUUUGUCAGGGAAGAAAUCCUCUGGGUUAAUACCUCGGGGGGAUGACGGUACCUGAAGAAUAAGCACCGGCUAACUACGUGCCAGCCGCCGCAGUAACAC